rnacentral:rRNA from 1 species
AUGCACGCUGGCGGCGUGCCUAAUACAUGCAAGUCGAGCGAACAGACGAGGAGCUUGCUCCUCUGACGUUAGCGGCGGACGGGUGAGUAACACGUGGAUAACCUACCUAUAAGACUGGGAUAACUUCGGGAAACCGGAGCUAAUACCGGAUAAUAUAUUGAACCGCAUGGUUCAAUAGUGAAAGACGGUUUUGCUGUCACUUAUAGAUGGAUCCGCGCCGCAUUAGCUAGUUGGUAAGGUAACGGCUUACCGAGGCGACGAUGCGUAGCCGACCUGAGAGGGUGAUCGGCCACACUGGAACUGAGACACGGUCCAGACUCCUACGGGAGGCAGCAGUAGGGAAUCUUCCGCAAUGGGCGAAAGCCUGACGGAGCAACGCCGCGUGAGUGAUGAAGGUCUUCGGAUCGUAAAACUCUGUUAUUAGGGAAGAACAAAUGUGUAAGUAACUAUGCACGUCUUGACGGUACCUAAUCAGAAAGCCACGGCUAACUACGUG